GGAAGGGGCUGCAGCACUGGGAGGGAUGGAGGGGGCUCAGCCUGGAGGAAAGGAAGCUCAGGAGGGACCUCCUUGCUCUCCACACCUGCCCAGCAAGAAGGGGACAGCCAGGUGGGGUCAGGCUCUGCUCCCAGGUGACAGGAUGAGACAAAAAGGUUUCCAGGAGAGCUUUAGGUUGGAUUUUAGGGAGAAUUCCCUCAUGGAAAAGGCUGCCCCCGUGCUCAGAGAAUCUCCUGUGGGUGAAUGAAUGAGAGACACGUGCCCUGGGGCGGGUGUGGAUCCAGCCCCCAGCCCAGCAGCUGCUGGGGCAGAUAAGGGGCCCUGUCCUGCCCCCACCCGGGCUGGGCUGGGGCUGGGGUCAGAUACUGAGCUGGGUCCACAACGAACGUUCCCCCAAGAUCUCCCUCCUUGCCUCAUCCUGGGCUGGAGCUCUGGUGGGACUCGCUGCCGGGGUAAGCUCGUUCCUCCUGGAUCACGUUUUGGAGAGGAGUUGGCUUUUUGCUAAACUUCAGUGGGGUUUUUUAAAUGGAAGCUGUGGGGUUUGGUGCUUAGAAAAGAAAGAAAAUGAUGUGUGAGGGGUCAGAGCUGGAGUUCACUUAAAUUGAAUCUCUGGCUGGUGAUUUCCUUUUACAUCCUGACUGAACCAAUAUUCCCGUGUUUUAUGGCAAUCUCCUUCAAAUCUGAUGGAAUUUGACAGAGGAUUCGGUGCUUUACAGGCCAGAAGUCCUCAGUGAGGGACAUUGGCUUGUCCUUGGAGGGGGGUUGAGCUCCUGGAGCUCAGAGGAUGCCAGGUCCCUCCUCCCCAGAUCCCUCAUCCCCAGGUCCCUCCCCAGCCCCAUUCCAGAUCCUGGCUCAUUCCUGCCUGGAUUGAAUUUAAACCCAGGCUGUGAUGAAGGAGUUAAACCUACCCUUAACCCACUUCCCCCUGCCUGGGGGGCUGGCAGGGCCUGGAGGGGUUUGGGGGGCGCAGGGGAGGCUUUGGGAGUGCUGGAGGUGCUGGGAAGGGGGGGAUGAGAUGAGGUUUCCACAUCGAGGGAAUUCCCCGCUUGUUUCCUCCUCCGGAGUUUCACAAUCAGCCCCAGCUGCCUGUGGACACUCCUGGCACGUUGGUGCCCAUCAGGGCUCCCAUGGGCAGAGCAGCAGGACUUUCUUAGCAGGUCCCAGCCUAAAUUCCCUCUCCCAUCCCUGCUGGGACCCUCAGAGCUGGAAAAGAGCUCAGGACCCAAUGUGUCCGGUUUGA
rnacentral:lncRNA from 1 species